rnacentral:piRNA from 1 species
CUUGGUCGUCUUUGAUGAGAAGUCAAGGC